AUGAACGCUAGCUACAGGCUUAACACAUGCAAGUCGAGGGGCAGCGGGAUUGAAGCUUGCUUCAAUUGCCGGCGACCGGCGCACGGGUGAGUAACGCGUAUCCAACCUUCCGUACACUCAGGGAUAGCCUUUCGAAAGAAAGAUUAAUACCUGAUGGUAUGAUGAGAUCGCAUGGUAUCAUCAUUAAAGAUUUAUCGGUGAUGGAUGGGGAUGCGUCUGAUUAGCUUGUUGGCGGGGUAACGGCCCACCAAGGCGACGAUCAGUAGGGGGUUCUGAGAGGAAGGUCCCCCACAUUGGAACUGAGACACGGUCCAAACUCCUACGGGAGGCAGCAGUGAGGAAUAUUGGUCAAUGGGCGAGAGCCUGAACCAGCCAAGUAGCGUGCAGGAUGACGGCCCUAUGGGUUGUAAACUGCUUUUAUAAGGGAAUAAAGUGGGAGUCGUGACUCUUUUUGCAUGUACCUUAUGAAUAAGGACCGGCUAAUUCCGUG
rnacentral:rRNA from 1 species